CCUACGGGUGGCUGCAGUGGGGAAUAUUGGGCAAUGGGCGCAAGCCUGACCCAGCAACGCCGCGUGAAGGAAGAAGGCUUUCGGGUUGUAAACUUCUUUUAAGAGGGAAGAGUAGAAGACGGUACAUCUUGUAUAAGCCACGGAUAACUACGUGCCAGCAGCCGCGGUAAUACGUAGGUUGCAAGCGUUGUCCGGAAUUACUGGGUGUAAAGUGCGUGUAGGCGGGCCGGCAAGUCAGAUGUGAAAUCCCAUGGCUUAACCUUGGAACUGCAUUUGAAACUGUUAGUAUUGAGUAUCGGAGAGGCAGGUGGAAUUCCUAGUGUAGCGGUGAAAUGCGUAGAGAUUAGGAGGAACACCAGUGGCGAAGGCGGCCUGCUGGACGACAACUGACGGUGAGGCGCGAAAGCGUGGGGAGCAAACAGGAUUAGAUACCCCAGUAGUC
rnacentral:rRNA from 1 species